rnacentral:rRNA from 1 species
CAAUAGCGUAUAUUUAAGUUGUUGCAGUUAAAAAGCUCGUAGUUGGAUUUCGGAUGGGAUUUGCCGGUCCGUCGUUACGAUGUGCACUGGCCAGUCCUAUCUUGUUGUCGGGGACUAGCUCCUUGGAUUCACUUCCUGGGACUAGGAGCUGACGAGGUUACUUUGAGUAAAUUAGAGUGUUCAAAGCAAGCCUACGCUCUGAAUACAUUAGCAUGGAAUAACACGAUAGGACUCUGGCUUAACUUGUUGGUCUGUGAGACCAGAGUAAUGAUUAAGAGGGACAGUCGGGGACAUUCGUAUUUCAUUGUCAGAGGUGAAAUUCUUGGAUUUAUGAAAGACGAACUACUGCGAAAGCAUUUGCCAAGGAUGUUUUCAUUAA